rnacentral:rRNA from 2 species
GACGUAGGAUGCAAGCGUUGUCCGGAAUCAUUGGGCGUAAAGCGUUCGUAGGCGGCAUGUCAAGUCUGAUGUUAAAGCCCGGAGCUCAACUCCGGUUCGGCAUUGGAUACUGGCAAGCUAGAGUGCAAUAGAGGUAGGGGGAAUUCCUAGUGUAGCGGUGAAAUGCGUAGAUAUUAGGAGGAACACCGGUGGCGAAAGCGCCCUACUGGGUUGUAACUGACGCUGAGGAACGAAAGCCAGGGUAGCAAAUGGG